rnacentral:rRNA from 1 species
UUGAUCCUGGCUCAGAUUGAACGCUGGCGGCAGGCCUAACACAUGCAAGUCGAACGGUAACAGGAAACAGCUUGCUGUUUCGCUGACGAGUGGCGGACGGGUGAGUAAUGUCUGGGAAACUGCCUGAUGGAGGGGGAUAACUACUGGAAACGGUAGCUAAUACCGCAUAACGUCGCAAGACCAAAGAGGGGGACCCUCGGGCCUCUUGCCAUCGGAUGUGCCCAGAUGGGAUUAGCUUGUUGGUGGGGUAACGGCUCACCAAGGCGACGAUCCCUAGCUGGUCUGAGAGGAUGACCAGCCACACUGGAACUGAGACACGGUCCAGACUCCUACGGGAGGCAGCAGUGGGGAAUAUUGCACAAUGGGCGCAAGCCUGAUGCAGCCAUGCCGCGUGUAUGAAGAAGGCCUUCGGGUUGUAAAGUACUUUCAGCGGGGAGGAAGGGAGUAAAGUUAAUACCUUUGCUCAUUGACGUUACCCGCAGAAGAAGCACCGGCUAACUCCGUGCCAGCAGCCGCGGUAAUACGGAGGGUGCAAGCGUUAAUCGGAAUUACUGGGCGUAAAGCGCACGCAGGCGGUUUGUUAAGUCAGAUGUGAAAUCCCCGGGCUCAACCUGGGAACUGCAUCUGAUACUGGCAAGCUUGAGUCUCGUAGAGGGGGGUAGAAUUCCAGGUGUAGCGGUGAAAUGCGUAGAGAUCUGGAGGAAUACCGGUGGCGAANGCGGCCCCCUGGACGAAGACUGACGCUCANGUGCGAAAGCGUGGGGAGCAAACA